UACGGGGGGGGCAAGCGUUGUUCGGAAUUACUGGGCGUAAAGGGCUCGUAGGUGGCCAACUAAGUCAGACGUGAAAUCCCUCGGCUUAACCGGGGAACUGCGUCUGAUACUGGAUGGCUAGAGUUUGGGAGAGGGAUGCGGAAUUCCAGGUGUAGCGGUGAAAUGCGUAGAUAUCGGGAGGAACACCAGUGGCGAAGGCGACUACCUGGCCUGUUCUUGACGCUGAGGCGCGAAAGCUAGGGGAGCAAACGGG
rnacentral:rRNA from 1 species